GCUCAGGGUGCCCCUCAAGUGAGAAGCACUUUCUGUUUGUUCAAGGGGGGAAAGUGCUUCUCUUUUGGGUGUCACCCUGGGA
rnacentral:pre_miRNA from 1 species